GACGGAGGAUGCAAGCGUUAUCCGGAAUGAUUGGGCGUAAAGCGUCCGCAGGUGGCAGUUCAAGUCUGCUGUCAAAGACCGGGGCUUAACUUCGGAAAGGCAGUGGAAACUGAACAGCUAGAGUAUGGUAGGGGCAGGGGGAAUUCCUGGUGUAGCGGUGAAAUGCGUAGAGAUCAGGAAGAACAUCGGUGGCGAAGGCGCUCUGCUGGACCAUAACUGACACUCAGGGACGAAAGCUAGGGGAGCGAAUGGG
rnacentral:rRNA from 1 species